rnacentral:misc_RNA from 1 species
GCAAACUUGGUCAUUUAGAGGAAGUACAAGUCGUAACAAGGUUACCGUAGGUGAACCUGCGGUAGGAUCAUUAACAAAUCCGAGUAGGACUUCCCAGUCCUGCCUAUGUUCCGGCGGCGAUGCGCUGUGGCGUUCGCUGCUGUGUUCAAAACGUGCUCUGCACAAGUAUGUAAGUGAGACUUUCAAUUAUGCGUGGGAACAACAAAACAACUUUCAACAAUGGAUCUCUGGGCUCUUGCAUCGAUGAAGAACGCAGC